rnacentral:rRNA from 1 species
GUCUACGGCCAUACCACCCUGAACGCGCCCGAUCUCGUCUGAUCUCAGAAGCUAAGCAGGGUCGGGCCUGGUUAGUACUUGGAUGGGAGACCAAGAUGGGAAUAAUUAACAGAACUAAGGAAG